rnacentral:misc_RNA from 1 species
CUCUAGUAACAGCCGUGGAGUCCGGGGCAGAAAAUUGGCAUGGCACUGUAAUUCAG